rnacentral:rRNA from 1 species
UACGGGGGGGGCAAGCGUUGUUCGGAAUUACUGGGCGUAAAGGGCUCGUAGGCGGCCAACUAAGUCCGACGUGAAAUCCCCAGGCUUAACCUGGGAACUGCGUCUGAUACUGGGUGGCUUGAAUCCGGGAGAGGGAUGCGGAAUUCCAGGUGUAGCGGUGAAAUGCGUAGAUAUCUGGAGGAACACCGGUGGCGAAGGCGGCAUCCUGGACCGGCAUUGACGCUGAGGCGCGAAAGCCAGGGGAGCAAACGGG